UACGAAGGGUGCAAGCGUUACUCGGAAUUACUGGGCGUAAAGCGUGCGUAGGCGGUUUGUUAAGUCCGUUGUGAAAGCCCUGGGCUCAACCUGGGAAUUGCAGUGGAUACUGGCGAGCUAGAGUGCGGUAGAGGAUGGUGGAAUUCCCGGUGUAGCGGUGAAAUGCGUAGAGAUCGGGAAGAACACCCGUGGCGAAGGCGGCUCACUGGGCUGACCUUGACGCUGAGGCGCGAAGGCGUGGGGAGCGAACGGG
rnacentral:rRNA from 1 species